AUUGAACGCUGGCGGCAGGCCUAACACAUGCAAGUCGAACGAGUGGCGGACGGGUGAGUAAUGUCUGGGACACUGCCUGAUGGAGGGGGAUAACUACUGGAAACGGUAGCUAAUACCGCAUACCCUCAGAUGUGCCCAGAUGGGAUUAGCUUGUUGGUGGGGUAACGGCUCACCAAGGCGACGCUCCCUAGCUGGUCUGAGAGGAUGACCAGCCACAAUGGAACUGAGACACGGUCCAGACUCCUACGGGAGGCAGCAGUGGGGAAUAUUGCACAAUGGGCGAAAGCCUGAUGCAGCAAUGCCGCGUGUAUGAAGAAGGCCUUCGGGUUGUAAAGUACUUUCGGCGGGGAAGCGGUAGCCGAAGAAGAAGCACCGGCUAACUCCGUGCCAGCAGCCGCGGUAAUAC
rnacentral:rRNA from 1 species